rnacentral:rRNA from 2 species
CGGGACACGUGGUAUCCUGUCUGAAUAUGGGGGGACCAUCCUCCAAGGCUAAAUACUCCUGACUGACCGAUAGUGAACCAGUACCGUGAGGGAAAGGCGAAAAGAACCCCGGCGAGGGGAGUGAAAAAGAACCUGAAACCGUGUACGUACAAGCAGUGGGAGCACAGAGCAAUCUGUGUGACUGCGUACCUUUUGUAUAAUGGGUCAGCGACUUAUAUUCUGUAGCAAGGUUAACCGAAUAGGGGAGCCGAAGGGAAACCGAGUCUUAACUGGGCGUUAAGUUGCAGGGUAUAGACCCGAAACCCGGUGAUCUAGCCAUGGGCAGGUUGAAGGUUGGGUAACACUAACUGGAGGACCGAACCGACUAAUGUUGAAAAAUUAGCGGAUGACUUGUGGCUGGGGGUGAAAGGCCAAUCAAACCGGGAGAUAGCUGGUUCUCCCCGAAAGCUAUUUAGGUAGCGCCUCGUGAAUUCAUCUCCGGGGGUAGAGCACUGUUUCGGCAAGGGGGUCAUCCCGACUUACCAACCCGAUGCAAACUGCGAAUACCGGAGAAUGUUAUCACGGGAGACACACGGCGGGUGCUAACGUCCGUCGUGAAGAGGGAAACAACCCAGACCGCCAGCUAAGGUCCCAAAGUCAUGGUUAAGUGGGAAACGAUGUGGGAAGGCCCAGACAGCCAGGAUGUUGGCUUAGAAGCAGCCAUCAUUUAAAGAAAGCGUAAUAGCUCACUGGUCGAGUCGGCCUGCGCGGAAGAUGUAACGGGGCUAAACCAUGCACCGAAGCUGCGGCAGCGACACUGUGUGUUGUUGGGUAGGGGAGCGUUCUGUAAGCCUGUGAAGGUGUGCUGUGAGGCAUGCUGGAGGUAUCAGAAGUGCGAAUGCUGACAUAAGUAACGAUAAAGCGGGUGAAAAGCCCGCUCGCCGGAAGACCAAGGGUUCCUGUCCAACGUUAAUCGGGGCAGGGUGAGUCGACCCCUAAGGCGAGGCCGAAAGGCGUAGUCGAUGGGAAACAGGUUAAUAUUCCUGUACUUGGUGUUACUGCGAAGGGGGGACGGAGAAGGCUAUGUUGGCCGGGCGACGGUUGUCCCGGUUUAAGCGUGUAGGCUGGUUUUCCAGGCAAAUCCGGAAAAUCAAGGCUGAGGCGUGAUGACGAGGCACUACGGUGCUGAAGCAACAAAUGCCCUGCUUCCAGGAAAAGCCUCUAAGCAUCAGGUAACAUCAAAUCGUACCCCAAACCGACACAGGUGGUCAGGUAGAGAAUACCAAGGCGCUUGAGAGAACUCGGGUGAAGGAACUAGGCAAAAUGGUGCCGUAACUUCGGGAGAAGGCACGCUGAUAUGUAGGUGAAGUCCCUCGCGGAUGGAGCUGAAAUCAGUCGAAGAUACCAGCUGGCUGCAACUGUUUAUUAAAAACACAGCACUGUGCAAACACGAAAGUGGACGUAUACGGUGUGACGCCUGCCCGGUGCCGGAAGGUUAAUUGAUGGGGUCAGCGCAAGCGAAGCUCUUGAUCGAAGCCCCGGUAAACGGCGGCCGUAACUAUAACGGUCCUAAGGUAGCGAAAUUCCUUGUCGGGUAAGUUCCGACCUGCACGAAUGGCGUAAUGAUGGCCAGGCUGUCUCCACCCGAGACUCAGUGAAAUUGAACUCGCUGUGAAGAUGCAGUGUACCCGCGGCAAGACGGAAAGACCCCGUGAACCUUUACUAUAGCUUGACACUGAACAUUGAGCCUUGAUGUGUAGGAUAGGUGGGAGGCUUUGAAGUGUGGACGCCAGUCUGCAUGGAGCCGACCUUGAAAUACCACCCUUUAAUGUUUGAUGUUCUAACGUGGACCCGUGAUCCGGGUUGCGGACAGUGUCUGGUGGGUAGUUUGACUGGGGCGGUCUCCUCCUAAAGAGUAACGGAGGAGCACGAAGGUUGGCUAAUCCUGGUCGGACAUCAGGAGGUUAGUGCAAUGGCAUAAGCCAGCUUGACUGCGAGCGUGACGGCGCGAGCAGGUGCGAAAGCAGGUCAUAGUGAUCCGGUGGUUCUGAAUGGAAGGGCCAUCGCUCAACGGAUAAAAGGUACUCCGGGGAUAACAGGCUGAUACCGCCCAAGAGUUCAUAUCGACGGCGGUGUUUGGCACCUCGAUGUCGGCUCAUCACAUCCUGGGGCUGAAGUAGGUCCCAAGGGUAUGGCUGUUCGCCAUUUAAAGUGGUACGCGAGCUGGGUUUAGAACGUCGUGAGACAGUUCGGUCCCUAUCUGCCGUGGGCGCUGGAGAACUGAGGGGGGCUGCUCCUAGUACGAGAGGACCGGAGUGGACGCAUCACUGGUGUUCGGGUUGUCAUGCCAAUGGCACUGCCCGGUAGCUAAAUGCGGAAGAGAUAAGUGCUGAAAGCAUCUAAGCACGAAACUUGCCCCGAGAUGAGUUCUCCCUGACCCUUUAAGGGUCCUGAAGGAACGUUGAAGACGACGACGUUGAUAGGCCGGGUGUGUAAGCGCAGCGAUGCGUUGAGCUAACCGGUACUAAUGAACCGUGAGGCUUAACCUUACAACGCCGAAGGUGUUU